rnacentral:rRNA from 1 species
UACAGAGGUCUCAAGCGUUGUUCGGAUUCAUUGGGCGUAAAGGGUGCGUAGGUGGCGCCGUAAGUCAGGUGUGAAAUUUCGGAGCUUAACUCCGAAACUGCAUUUGAUACUGCGGUGCUGAGGACUGGAGAGGAGACUGGAAUUCACGGUGUAGCAGUGAAUGCGCAGAUAUCGGGAGGAAUCACCGGUGGCGAAGGCGGUUCUGCUGGGCCUGUACUGACGCUGAGGAGCGAAGCGUGGGGAGCGAACAGG